rnacentral:sRNA from 1 species
UAAAAUAGAGGGAAAAAGGCCUAGGGG